GAUGAAGAACGCAGCGAAAUGCGAUAAGUAGUGUGAAUUGCAGAAGUACCGUGAAUCAUCGAAUCUUUGAACGCAAAUUGCACUCUCUGGUAUUCCGGGGAGUAUGCCUGUUUGAGGGUCGCUUAACAAACCAUCGAUUUCGUUGCUUUUUUUUUUAAAGUGAUGUUUAUCGGAUUUGAGCCGUCUUUUUUUUUAUAUUUAAGUGGCUUAAAAUUGAUUUUUUUGGUACGAUCGAAGCGUAUUUUUAUGAUCAAUUUUUGGUUAAAGAAACGCACACGUACCGUUAUUUAUAUGAUGUAAUACGUUUGACUAUUGGAUUUAGUUCAUUCGUAUACGAUAUCUUUCAAUAUUUGACCUCAAAUCAGGUAAGAACACCUGCUGAACUUAAGCAUAUCAAUAAGCGGAGGA
rnacentral:misc_RNA from 1 species